AGGUUUGAUCCUGGCUCAGAGUGAACGCUGGCGGCAGGCCUAAUACAUGCAAGUCGAACGGCAGCACAGCAGAGCUUGCUCUGUGGGUGGCGAGUGGCGGACGGGUGAGGAAUACGUGGGAAUCUGCCCAGUCGUGGGGGAUAACGUAGGGAAACUUACGCUAAUACCGCAUGCGCCCUUCGGGGGAAAGCCGGGGACCUUCGGGCCUGGCGCGAUUGGAUGAGCCCACGUCGGAUUAGCUAGUUGGCGGGGUAAAGGCCCACCAAGGCGACGAUCCGUAGCUGGUCUGAGAGGAUGAUCAGCCACACUGGAACUGAGACACGGUCCAGACUCCUACGGGAGGCAGCAGUAGGGAAUAUUGGACAAUGGGCGCAAGCCUGAUCCAGCCAUGCCGCGUGAGUGAAGAAGGCCCUCGGGUUGUAAAGCUCUUUUGUCCGGAAAGAAAAGCGCCGGGUUAAUACCCUGGUGUCCUGACGGUACCGGAAGAAUAAGCACCGGCUAACUUCGUG
rnacentral:rRNA from 1 species